UACUUCGGUAAAGAGCGGCGGACGGGUGAGUAACGCGUGGGUAACCUACCCUGUACACACGGAUAACAUACCGAAAGGUAUGGUCGCUGAAGAAAGACUAUCUGGUUGAUAGGUCGAAGGUGUAAGUGCAGCAAUGUAUUUAGCUUAUCGAUACUAAUAGGUCGAGGACUUGACCAAAUUAUUUGAUGUCCAUUCAAUAAAAUAUAUAUGUAGUUUUUAGAGUGUUAACUCUAAAGAAACUAGUAUUACUAGAUUCUAAAAACUUAAUAGAAAUAUAUUGACUAGAAUAGAUAAAGAUGAUAUAGUAUUACUUGUCCUUGAAAAAAGGAAAAAGAAAUAAACACGAACAUUGAAAAUUAAACAGUAGGUUAAUUUAUAUUAAGAAACAAACCAUAAAGCCAGAUAUUUUGAUAACAAUAGUAUCUGAGUCUGAUAAACUUUUAUUUGAGAGUUUGAUCCUGGCUCAGGAUGAACGCUGGCGGCGUGCCUAACACAUGCAAGUUGAGCGAUUUACUUCGGUAAAGAGCGGCUAAUACGGGAUAAUAUAUUUGAGAGGCAUCUCUUGAAUAUCAAAGGUGAGCCAGUACAGGAUGGACCCGCGUCUGAUUAGCUAGUUGGUAAGGUAACGGCUUACCAAGGCGACGAUCAGUAGCCGACCUGAGAGGGUGAUCGGCCACAUUGGAACUGAGACACGGUCCAAACUCCUACGGGAGGCAGCAGUGGGGAAUAUUGCACAAUGGGCGAAAGCCUGAUGCAGCAACGCCGCGUGAGUGAUGAAGGCCUUCGGGUCGUAAAACUCUGUCCUCAAGGAAGAUAAUGACGGUACUUGAGGAGGAAGCCCCGGCU
rnacentral:rRNA from 1 species